AACAAACUUUAAUAAAAAUCCCGCUGUUCCGAUAGAAGGCAAUCAACAAUUUUCAACUCAAGUAUUCUCUAAAAAAAAAUAAUGAACUCUGGUCCAGAAGGCAUAUGCUACAAGAAUCAUCUAUUGAAGCUUCUUUAUACCAGGGAAAGAAGGGAGGAUUGAGAUUAGAGGGUCACCAUAUCCAACAGGAUCUCCAUCUUUUCGGAGUAUCCUGAUAACCUCUCCCGAUACGUCAGACUCGACAGGGAGCUCGCCUCCAAGCUGCUCAAUAUAGAAAACUACUUGUCCCUCCUUCACUUGUUGCUUUUCUUUACAGGCUGGAGGUGCACGUUUUCCCUUAAUGGUUCGAGAUCUUCUGAAGAAACCAACCCUUGGAGAUUGAAUUAUCACCAAGCCUUCAUCUGCAGCUUUUUCAAUCAUUGUCUGAAUUCCAUCUGAGGGAGGUGAAGAUUUUGUGAUUGCUAAUGAUGUUGAUGAGGCUGAGCCGUUUGAAUCAGCCACCUCAACAGAUGAGGAAACACUGACAGGACUGGAUAUUGGAGGCAAUGAAGUUGUACUUUGCCCUGUCAAGUCUCUCUUCACAUACAAACGAAAUCCACCAAGUUUUAAGUCAACUUCUGCAAUUGAAGUUGUAUCACAUAUUUCUGUAAGGAGAGACUCCACCUCAUAUGAAUUUGGAGUCAAUGGACUUGCAGUUUCUGAAGAAACAAUCUUACUCGAACUAUCAUCUGAAUUAGGAAUAGCUGUUGCUGCAACAGAUUCAGCUUCAACAGUUGAACACCGGCAAUCAAAUGUCUUCCUUGACUUUGUGGUUAAUAGCAACCCAUCGCUUUGAACAAAUUUCUUUGUUCUCAGAUUGUGUACAACACUCAAUUUGGGCUUAGUAGAUCCCAAAUUCAAACUCGUUAAUUUAAGACCAGAAGCCCCAAAACCACAUGCAGCCAUAAGAAGGGUAAAAAGAACCCUAUGGAAAAACACAGAGCAGAGCUUGAAGCUUUGCUUGCUG
rnacentral:misc_RNA from 1 species